AGAGUUUGAUCAUGGCUCAGAACGAACGCUGGCGGCGUGGAUAAGACAUGCAAGUCGAACGGGAUUACUUCUGUAGCAAUACAGAAGUAAUUUAGUGGCGAACGGGUGCGUAACACGUGGGCAAUCUGCCGAAAAGUGGGGGAUAGCUCGCCGAAAGGCGAAUUAAUACCGCAUAUGGUCAGCCAAGACAUCUUGGUGAAUCCAAAGCCGGGGCAACCUGGCGCUUUUUGAGGAGCCCGCGGCCUAUCAGCUAGUUGGUGAGGUAACGGCUCACCAAGGCUAUGACGGGUAGCUGGUCUGAGAGGACGACCAGUCACACUGGAACUGAGACACGGUCCAGACACCUACGGGUGGCAGCAGUGGGGAAUAUUGGACAAUGGGCGGAAGCCUGAUCCAGCAACGCCGCGUGAGGGAUGACGGCCUUCGGGUUGUAAACCUCUUUCAGGAGGGACGAAGGUGCGGCGGCGAAUAGCUUGCCGUACUGACGGUACCUCCAGAAGAAGCCCCGGCUAACUACGUGCCAGCAGCGGCGGUAAUAC
rnacentral:rRNA from 1 species